ensembl:lncRNA
CAUGACUGGACUGCGCGAAAGUUAUGAGAAUGAAAGCAGUCAUCAAGUCGGAGUUUCCUUCGACCGUUUCUUUGUUCUGAAUAUUGUAACGCACGUACUGUAUACAGUUCCUCACUUAGCAACCGAUUCGUUUAACGACCGGUUCACAGGAACAGAACUUGGUGGUUGGCUAUGCACGGAAUGUCUGUGCUGAGCUCCAGGCCAGCCUGAACUAUGUAGGGAAACCGGUCUCAGAAAACAAAAGUCCUUGACCCCACCUUGACUCCGGGGUAUUUCCCCAGCAGCCAGUGUUUCACCAGGCAGCUCCACAAGGCGGCUCUCCGUGGAAGACCCGGUUUCAGAGCGCACUCAGCAUGGGUGGCCAGUUGUGAUGGGCAGGGCGGGGAGAGGACUAACCCAGGCUGGCUGCAGCCACCUGCAGAGGUGCAGUGAGUCUCCACCGCCAGUGCCGACAGAGACCCGUGUGCCUCGCGGCAUUGGCCCGGGGCCCUGCUCGGGGCCGAGCGGACCAAAGGCGGGUGUUCUCAGGCGAGGCUACGCUAAGCCGCCACUCGUCCUCCAUCGUCCCUAGGGAAGCCACGGAAGAGACAGGGCCUGGCUGAUUGCCCAGGCUGGACUCCAGCUUGGGACCCCCCCCCGCUCAGUCUCCCGGGCAUGCACCACCAUGCCCAGCUGGAAAAUUUACUGCAUAUCUGGAUAGAUACCAAAAUCUCAUGUAUUUUAUGUGUGCUUCGGCUUUUGUGUUUUUCUUUUCUCUGGGCCUUUUGGACUUUUUGCUGAGGACCUGUUUCUGUUUACUGCUCUCUUUUGUUACACUCUCAAAUAUCCCUAUCAAGGACCCCAGCCAAGAGUCUCAACUGCCUGCAAAUACAACGCAAGGAGAGAGAACAAAAGAAACAAACAAGACUUAAACAGAAAGCAGGGAUCUGGGAUCGUCUGAGCUGCUGUGAGCAGCAAUGACAAAAAGCACCUGAGACCUCCAGUGUUUAUUGAUUACAACUGUGGCAAGAAAUAGGCAGGGUGUAUUGAGACAUCUGGUGAUAGCAGUUAUCACAGACAAGACCAAAAGGGAGGCAGUGCAUUCUUGCAGAAGAAACAAAAGGAGACCAGAACUGGGUUAUAACCUAUCAUGUCAUGAGGGAGCUACGAUUCAGGGAAAGGAAUCUAAUUGGAGUCACCCUGACCUCAGCUGGAUGUUAUCUCAAUCCUGCCCAAUCCUGUGGCAGCCACUGGAAGAGUGGCUGUGCUCCCCGGCCGGCCGCCACCUGACAUGCCCAUGAGUCACACAGACUUCUGUCAGACUCCUAAUAAAAACAGCCAAAUUAUGGGGAAGCAGGACGCCUGUACCACUUAUGGCCUGCUAGCAGACUGGGCAGGGCGUCAGCUACAAUUUCCAAAGCACCCGCCUUCUUCACCAGUAGGAUGAGGAAACCAAGAGAGGAAGGCUGGGGAAAAGGAUCAAUAGGAGAUCACUUCACUGGGCCCGGAGCCUGCCUCUCUCUGCUCUAAAGGAAAGAAUGAUGGAUACAUGUCUGCAUGAAAAAAAUGCUCAGAGAUGAAGGAAAGUUUCACUGGCCAUAUGGAAUUCCUCGCCUGCCCUGACAUCUCUCUCACAAAGUGCAUCAGAUGCAGCCGGGUGUGGUGGUGCACAGCUGCAGUCCCAACACUCUGGGAGGCAGAGGCAGGAGGAUCACAAGGGACGUAGCAAGACCCUGUCUGAAAAUUAAAAAUGAAAAAGGGCUGGGGAUGCAGUUCAGUGCAAAGGCCCUGGGUUCAAUCCCUAGUACUGGGGGGGAGGGGGACAUCAGCAGCCCCACCUCCUGCUGUGCUGUUCUCACAAGUGCUGCAGACACAGCGAGAAAGCAAAGGGCCUGAAAUCUCAGCAUCAAGGACCCCAGCUCUCACGUGGCCUUCAGCAGGACACUGAGCUCCGAGCCUCAGUUACCUCACAGGAAAAUGGCCUUCAUCACAAACUCCUAAGAGCCGCCACAACAAUGAAGAGGAUGCACGGAAGGUGCUGGAACACCCCUGACACACUCACUCACAGUGCGUCACCACCACUUUAUGGGAAGGAAUUUAAGACAAAUUUGAGGACAUCAUCAGUUUACAGGGAUUAAGAAAGACAAACUGGGAUGCCUGUAGGACCGCAUCUAGACCUAGCGCCAGGGAACUACUGCAACCUGCAGGCCGGCUCCAGCCCAGUGUGCUCUUAAAUUUUAUUGGAACACAGCCACUCCCAUCCACUGCUGUCAUCGGUGGCAACUUUUGCUCUAAAAUAAGAAAUAAAGGGCUGCAGCUGAGACCACAUAUUUAUCAAAGUUUGAAAUAUUUACCACCAGACCCUUUACAAGAAAAGGUUGCACUGGCCAUGGUGGCACAUGCCUGUCUGUAAUCCCAGCACUUGGGAGGCUGAGGCAGGGGGCUCCCAAAGAGUUUGAGGCCAGGCUGAACUACAUAGUGAGACCUUGUCUCAAAAAGCCAAAAAGAAAAGGUUGCCAACCCUGAUAAAGACUGUUUUGCCCUAACACCCUUUCAAGGCUUAUGUUGAGACAGGGUCUCACUAUGUAUUUCAUCCAGGCUUUGAACUCACUAUGUAGUCCAGGCUGGCCUGGAAUUCAUGGUGAUCCUCCUGCUUCAGCCUCCCCAAUGCUGGGAUUAUAGGGAAGACCACCACACCCAGUUCAAAACACUUGAAGACAAAUAGGCAACUUCAGUUCACAAGCCAGGUGCCAAACUCAGAAACAGGUGCACUUUGCAGUCUAGGAUGGAUGUGGCCCCUCUCUGUCUUGAUUUGCUUUGAGGUUAGCAAAGCAGCUUCAUUUAAAUUCCACCUAAACAGGUCGGGGAUUUAGCUCAGUGCUUCUGCUGCCUGCCUCGAAAGCACAAGGUCCCCAGUUCAAUCCCCGGUACCAAAAAAAAAAAAAAAUUUCCACCUAAACUUCACUUCUCCACAACUCUGUCUUUUCCUUCUUGGUCAAGUGCCCCAUGGUCUCCGGCAGGCGUAUCCUGCUCAGUGCUGUGGAUUAACAGGCUGGAUUUUCCUCGAUUACAGGUUUGUCCCUCGUGGUCUUAGGCUGACUGGGUGUCGACACUGUCUUGCUCAGCUUCAGAGUUCCCAGGACUGCUGAUAUUUUUAUUUGUACACGUCUGUUGUACACAGAAAUUACAAUCAUUGUGGGGAGUUGGUACACGGUCGUAACACAUUUUAACUUUUUAUGUCCCCUUCCCCUCCUGUAAACUCUGAAGACUUACAACACCCACUUGUCCCCGUUAGAUGUAACUACACCUGUCCACCAUGCGAGGCAGUAACUGUCAGGCAGUAACACAGGGUCCCGAGUCGGAUCCCGAGUCUCCCAAGACGGACAAAGCGCCUGACGCCACGGACACCGCGAUGGACCACCUCGCGCCCACACCGCAGGCCGGACGGAAACGUCACUCUGCAGCCCGCAGCUACCAACUAAGAUCAGACAAACAUGUCAGAGUCAGGGUCCUGGGCAGCCUCGGCUCGUUCUCGGACGGGCUUAGACCCUUUUUCUUUGGGCGCCCCCAAACAGUCUGCGAAACGGAGGCUCCACCUCCAGGGAAGAAACCUGCGGCUCGGGCUCCGCGGGGAGCCGACGGCCACGUCCCGGUCCACGAGCAGCAGCGGCACCGCGGCGGCUCCUAGUCAGGUUCCGCGAAGCGCCGCGAAGUCGCCUGAGGGGCCCUGCCCCGCCGCGCCUCUCGGCCACUGGACGUCCGGCCGGGACAGCCCAGCUACAGAUGGCGAGGCCCGCCCAGCCGGUGCGGGACGCCAUCAUGGUUCCUGGCGUCGCGCUCGGAUUACCCUGCCUCCCGCUAAUUGGAAGAGCCGG